rnacentral:rRNA from 1 species
AACGGUUUAUUGUCUGCCCAACGGAGAAGUGCUUCGUGCUCUUCCGAUGGGAUAACGAUCUCGAAAUGAAUCGCUAAUACCUGUAAGAAAGACCUCGCGCCGUUCAAGCAUCGGAGGGAUUUCCCCCCUUCGGUGUGGUGUGGGGUGCAAUUCGCCGGAACAAAAAUCAACGUCCUCUGGACAGUUGACAUUGUUGACGCAGGCGAAUGUUGCGAAAGCUCCUUUUCAGGAGCGAUGUUGGAUGAAUUUACCACCUAUCAGGUUGAAGGUAGUAUAGUUGACUACCUUGCCAGUGACGGGUAACGGAGAAUUGGGGUUCGAUUCCGGAGAGGGUGCCUGAGAAACGGCAACCAUCACUACGGUGAGCAGCAGGCGCGCAAAUUGCCCAAUGCUAAUCCUAGCGAGGCAGCGACGAAAAAUAAUAACUCUGUUACACUUGUUGUAUCAGAGAUUGUGAUGGAUUGUAUCCAACACACACUGCUGAGUAUCAAUUGGAUGGCAAGUCUGGUGCCAGCAGCCGCGGUAAUUCCAGCUCCAAGAGCGUAUAUAAAUGUUGUUGCGGUUAAAAGCCCGUAGUUGGAUUUGAGGACAUGACCUGUGUUUGCGCCCCUUGAGCUGGUUCGUCCAACUCUUGGGAUCUCGGAAACGCAUUACGGUGAUGUUCUAUUUGCACGCGGGAAUGGUUGUCGGUCCUCUGCCUUCACUGGUUAGCGGACAAAUACGGAGUCAUCACACUCCAUAAGACACGCCCGCGGCUGUCACUGUGAGUAAAACAGAGUGUUCAAGGCAACCGAAUCGCUCGGUUGAAUGUUAAAGCAUGGAAUGACAAGGGAUCGACCACUGUGUGGCCUCUUUUUGUUGGUUUUCAAGCCUCAGUGCGGUAAACUUGUGCAGGGAGACCUGUUUGGCUGUGUCUUUCGGGGCCACUAGACAAGCCCUCGCACACACGGGAUCAACAGGAGCACAGGGGGUCAUGAGUACUGGAGGGUGAGUGGUGAAAUACUGAGACCCCUCCAAGACUGACAUCAGCGAAAGCACUUGACUAUUGUGCUUUCAUUAAUCAAGGACGAGAGAUAGGGGAUUGAAGAGGAUUAGACACCCUCGUAGUCCUUUCCUUAAACUCUGCAAACUUGGGAUCGGUCAGCGCUCUCUCUCCUGACCCGAUCGGCACCUCCCCCUUUUAUCGAGAAAUCAAAGUCUUUGUGUUCCGGGGGGAGUACAUUCGCAAGGCUGAAACUUAAAGGAAUUGACGGAGAACCACCACCAGUCGUGGAUUGUGUGGCUUAAUUCGACCCAACACGGGAAAUUUUAGCUAUAUAGGACAUGGGCAGGAUUGCCAAGCUGAAGUCUUUGCUUGAUUCCAUGAAGGGUGGUGCAUGGCCGCUUCUGGUUGGUGAACGUGAUUUGUCUGCUUAAUUGCGAUAACGAACGAGAUCUCUGCCAAUUACUAGAUGCUGCUUUCGCUGUAGGUUGGUGGAGUAAGCUUGGUUUCGGCCUUGUUUGCUUCAUCGCCGAGAAGGCAGAGCUUUUACUUAUUGGGAUUAUGC